rnacentral:rRNA from 1 species
ACGAACGCUGGCGGCGUGCUUAACACAUGCAAGUCGAGGGGGGAGUAGGGGCAACUCUACUUCACCGGCGAACGGGUGCGUAACACGUGAGCGACCUACCCUGGUGUGGGGGAUAGCCGGCCCAACGGCCGGGUAAUACCGCAUACGCUCUGUGAGGGGCAUCCCUUGGAGAGCAAAGCUGUGGGGCAACUCACGGCGCAUUGGGGAGGGGCUCGCGGCCUAUCAGCUAGUUGGCGAGGAACGGCUCACCAAGGCGACGACGGGUAGCUGGUCUGAGAGGAUGGCCAGCCACAUUGGGACUGAGAGACGGCCCAGACUCCUACGGGAGGCAGCAGUGGGGAAUCUUGCGCAAUGGGCGAAAGCCUGACGCAGCGACGCCGCGUGCGGGAGGACGG